rnacentral:rRNA from 1 species
GGUAAACGGCGGCCGUAACUAUAACGGUCCUAAGGUAGCGAAAUUCCUUGUCGGGCAAGUUCCGACCCGCACGAAAGGCGUAACGAUUUGGGCGCUGUCUCAGCUGUAGACUCGGUGAAGUCUUAGUACCUGUGAAGAUGCAGGUUGCCCGCGACUAGACGGAAAGACCCCAUGGAGCUUCACUGCAGGUUGACAUUGGGCUUGGAUGCAUGAUGUACAGGAUAGGUGGGAGGCUGUGAGCCGUGCGCGCCAGCGUACGGGGAGCCGCUGUUGGGAUACCACCCUUCAUGCAUCUAGGUCCUAACCGGAGGCAACGGGCCACGGGACAGUGUCAGUCGGGCAGUUUGACUGGGGCGGUCGCCUCCCAAAGAGUAACGGAGGCGCCCAAAGAUACCCUCAGCAUGGAUGGAAACCAUGCAUAGAGUGCAAAGGCAUAAGGGUGUCUGACUGCGAGACAUACAGGUCGAGCAGGGACGAAAGUCGGGCUUAGUGAUCCGGCGGAUCCGAAUGGAAGGGCCGUCGCUCAACGGAUAAAAGCUACCCUGGGGAUAACAGGCUGAUCUCCCCCAAGAGUUCACAUCGACGGGGAGGUUUGGCACCUCGAUGUCGGCUCAUCGCAUCCUGGAGCUGAAGUCGGUUCCAAGGGUUGGGCUGUUCGCCCAUUAAAGCGGUACGCGAGCUGGGUUCAGAACGUCGUGAGACAGUUCGGUCCCUAUCUGUCGUGGGCGCAGGAGGUUUGAGGAGAGCUGCCCCUAGUACGAGAGGACCGGGGUGGACGGACCGAUGGUGCACCAGUUGUCACGCCAGUGGCACAGCUGGGCAGCCAAGUCCGGACGGGAUAAGCGCUGAAGGCAUCUAAGCGUGAAGCCCCCUCCAAGAUGAGACCUCCCAUUGGCGACAAGUAAGGCCCCUCGAAGACGACGAGGUUGAUAGGCCGCGAGUGCAAGCGCAGCGAUGUGCUUAGCGGGGCGGUACUAAUAGGCCGAGGACUUGGCCAA